AGUCACUGACAUUAGAUACCCGUGUAGUCCAGGGUGUAAACGCUGCAGACUUGGUGUUAAGGAGGCCCUUUGGGGGCAUUCAGUGCCGGAGAGAAGUUGUUAAGUCUGCUACUUGGGGAGUACGUCCGCAAGGAUGAAACUUAAAGGAAUUGGCGGGGGAGCACCGCAACGGGAGGAGCGUGCGGUUUAAUUGGAUUCAACACCGUAAACUCACCAGGGAAGACUGUUACAUGAAGGCCGAGAUGAAGACUCUGCUAGAUUUUCAG
rnacentral:rRNA from 1 species